GUGGGGAAUUUUGGACAAUGGGCGCAAGCCUGAUCCAGCAAUGCCGCGUGCAGGAAGAAGGCCUUCGGGUUGUAAACUGCUUUUGUACGGAACGAAAAGGCUCUGGUUAAUACCUGGGGCUCAUGACGGUACCGUAAGAAUAAGCACCGGCUAACUACGUGCCAGCAGCCGCGGUAAUACGUAGGGUGCAAGCGUUAAUCGGAAUUACUGGGCGUAAAGCGUGCGCAGGCGGUUUUGUAAGACAGACGUGAAAUCCCCGGGCUCAACCUGGGAAUGGCGUUUGUGACUGCAAAGCUGGAGUGCGGCAGAGGGGGAUGGAAUUCCGCGUGUAGCAGUGAAAUGCGUAGAUAUGCGGAGGAACACCGAUGGCGAAGGCAAUCCCCUGGGCCUGCACUGACGCUCAUGUACGAAAGCGUGGGGAGCAAACAGGAUUAGAUACCCGUGUAGUCC
rnacentral:rRNA from 1 species